rnacentral:rRNA from 2 species
UACGGAGGGUGCGAGCGUUAAUCGGAAUUACUGGGCGUAAAGCGUGCGUAGGCGGUUUGAUAAGUCGGGUGUGAAAGCCCCGGGCUUAACCUGGGAAUUGCAUUCGAUACUAUCUGACUCGAGUCUGGGAGAGGGAAGCGGAAUUCCGGGUGUAGCGGUGAAAUGCGUAGAUAUCCGGAGGAACAUCAGUGGCGAAGGCGGCUUCCUGGCCUAAGACUGACGCUGAGGUACGAAAGCGUGGGGAGCAAACAGG